rnacentral:rRNA from 1 species
GUCAGCAGCCAUGCCACCUGCAGGUCAGACUAGGUAAUCCACAUGAAGCUAAGCAGGUUUGGUUCUGGCCAGUACUUGGAGAGGAGACCAGCUAGGAAAGCUGGGUUCCUGCUGGAA